CCUACGGGAGGCAGCAGUGGGGAAUUUUGGACAAUGGGCGCAAGCCUGAUCCAGCAAUGCCGCGUGCAGGAUGAAGGCCUUCGGGUUGUAAACUGCUUUUGUACGGAACGAAACGGCCCUUUCUAAUACAAGGGGCUAAUGACGGUACCGUAAGAAUAAGCACCGGCUAACUACGUGCCAGCAGCCGCGGUAAUACGUAGGGUGCGAGCGUUAAUCGGAAUUACUGGGCGUAAAGCGUGCGCAGGCGGUUAUAUAAGACAGAUGUGAAAUCCCCGGGCUCAACCUGGGACCUGCAUUUGUGACUGUAUAGCUAGAGUACGGUAGAGGGGGAUGGAAUUCCGCGUGUAGCAGUGAAAUGCGUAGAUAUGCGGAGGAACACCGAUGGCGAAGGCAAUCCCCUGGACCUGUACUGACGCUCAUGCACGAAAGCGUGGGGAGCAAACAGGAUUAGAUACCCUGGUAGUCCACGCCCUAAACGAUGUCAACUGGUUGUUGGGUCUUCACUGACUCAGUAACGAAGNUAACGCGUGAAGUUGACCGCCUGGGGAGUACGGCCGCAAGGUUGAAACUCAAAUGAAUUGACGG
rnacentral:rRNA from 1 species